rnacentral:rRNA from 1 species
UACGUAGGUGGCAAGCGUUGUCCGGAUUUACUGGGCGUAAAGAGCGCGCGGGCGGUCGUUCAAGUCGCGUGUGAAAGCCCCCGGCUCAACUGAGGAAGUGCGCCCGAAACUGCAGAGCUUGAGUGCCGGAGAGGGUGGCGGAAUUCCCCAAGUAGAGGUGAAAUUCGUAGAUAUGGGGAGGAACACCGGUGGCGAAGGCGGCCACCUGGACGGUAACUGACGCUGAGACGCGAAAGCGUGGGGAGCAAACAGG